rnacentral:rRNA from 1 species
GAAUAUUGGACAAUGGGGGAAACCCUGAUCCAGCAAUGCCGCGUGAGUGAUGAAGGCCUUAGGGUUGUAAAGCUCUUUCGGUGGUGACGAUGAUGACGGUAACCACAGAAGAAGCCCCGGCUAACUUCGUGCCAGCAGCCGCGGUAAGACGAAGGGGGCUAGCGUUGUUCGGAAUUACUGGGCGUAAAGCGCACGUAGGCGGCCUUUCAAGUCAGAUGUGAAAGCCCCGAGCUUAACUCGGGAAAUGCAUUUGAUACUGUUGGGCUAGAGACCGGGAGAGGAUAGCGGAAUUCCCAGUGUAGAGGUGAAAUUCGUAGAUAUCUGGAGGAAUACCGGUGGCGAAGGCGGCAUCCUGGACCGGCAUUGACGCUGAGGAGCGAAAGCUAGGGGAGCAAAC